GGUUAGCACGGUUUGGUUGGAUCCCUGCCCCGAGCAGCGACGUUCGACCGUACGUUCCUCUUCAAUUUUCGGCCCAAGCAAGCUUGGCCGGCCAUUCGGUUUCCUGUGUUGCGUACCUACUAAAGACGGUAUUCGGUUGCCAAAUUUCUCUCGUUCGCCCAAAGCUCCCGUUCCGGGCGGCCGCGGGUGAACCCCUAAGCGACAUUUGUGUUCCUCGGCACGACACGCCAGCCGUUGUUUUUGCCGCGGCGCACGAAUUUUCGCUCGGUCUCGGGGAUGCGGAAUACGCAAGGGGCAUGGGGUCUUCGACCCAUACUGUCCAACGAAAGCUCAACGCUCACACGAACGACUUCCGGUGCUGCGUCGGCGCUCGCGUCGCGUGGCCCGGUGUCCGUGAGGAAUGCUACCUGGUUGAUCCUGCCCAGUAGUCAUAUGCUUGUCUCAAAGAUUAAUCCAUGCAUGUGUAAGUNAA
rnacentral:misc_RNA from 1 species